rnacentral:rRNA from 1 species
UACGGAGGGUGCAAGCGUUAUCCGGAUUUACUGGGUUUAAAGGGUGUGUAGGCGGGCUUUUAAGUCAGUGGUGAAAUCUCCGGGCUCAACCUGGAAACUGCCAUUGAUACUAUUAGUCUUGAAUUUUGUUGAGGUAGGCGGAAUAAGUCAUGUAGCGGUGAAAUGCAUAGAUAUGACUUAGAACACCAAUUGCGAAGGCAGCUUGCUAAACAAAUAUUGACGCUGAGGCACGAAGCGUGGGGAGUCAAACAGGA